CAUGGGGCGAGCAGGGUGCGUGCCCUGGGCGCCGUGGCAACCCCAGCAGAGGGGGGCGCCACCAGCACCUGCAUGGCCCGCUCGCCCCAUGCCGCCAGAGCUCUGCACUCCACCACCGUUGCGCUGCUGCUGGCCUCUUCCUGCUGGGAGUGUGACCGCGAUGUGUCACACUCCCCUGUGUGAACAGCCUGCUGUUACCUGCCGCCUCAGCCCGCCGGAAGGGGAGGGGGGUGAAAGUCCCGCUCCCCCUGCCGGCAGCAGCUCCCGCUCCGCACACACUGGCUGCAGCUCCCACUACAGGCCGCACCGCGGCUUCACGCCUCCCGCAAACAUGAACACUGCAACUUCACUCCUAUCUGGGAGCCAGGAGCAAGCCGGACCCGGCAGUAACAGCACAGGAGGACGGCGCACAUCGGGAUGCUGCAGCAGGAGAGAAGAUCCCCCUUCGGAGCGCAGCAGACCACACUGAAAAGGGUGCAUCCCAGGUGCGGUGCUCUGCAUCCCGGGUGGCGCCGAAGACGUGGAGUGUCGGAGGUGGCAGAAGCGCCGCUGCUUGGGAUAAUAUGAUAUACGGGCAUCCGUGAGAUAUAUGUAUUCGACAGGCAACUUCCAGAGUUUGCAACGCAACUGCUACAAGAAUAUUAGUGGAUGUUACUUGGAACACAAAUGACUUUCAGUUCCAUCAGUUUCAAUAUCAGGUUUUCCAAAAGCAUCCUCCAAUUUUUCAUUAAAAAUCUCUGUAAUGAGAUCAAUAUAGCGUCAGUAAUGACCAUUCAUAUGAUUUAGCAGGGUCUUACCAUUAAUAAUUCUACCCUCUAAACCAGUGGUUCUCAAACUCGGUCCUCAGGACCCCACACAGUGCAUGUUUUGCAGGUAACCCAGCAGGUGCACAGGUGUAUUAAUUUCUCAUUGACACAUUUUAAAAGGUCCACAGGUGGAGCUAAUUAUUUCACUUGUGAUUCUGAGCGGGAUGUAUUAACAUAUAUCACCACCCAAUGCAGUGAUGUUGAUCGCAUAUGUACUAACAUAUGCGAUCAAUAUCGCAAUGCGAUGACGGAGGCCCACCACGAUACCUGUGAGGUGGUGUGCUGCGGGUCUCCGUCACCUCCCUGGGCUCUUCACCUGCUCCCCUGCCGGGAAGCAGGCAACAGGCUGUCCCCGAUGCCUCCUCCGCCCCCCUGCAACCGGAAGGACCUCCGGCUGCGUUGCUAGGGGGAGGAGGAGAUUACUUUCCGGAACCAGGCUUCCUGGAGGAAGGUAUGCUGGGGAGGAGGAGUGGGUGCAGCGUCUGCGGUGGAGGCGACGGGUUGCGGUGGCCAGCGAUAAGUAGCCCAUAGGUGUCUAUAGGGUAUCGCCAUCCAAAGAUGGCGAUACCCUGUGCGGUGAAAACGCGGUGGUCGGGUAAUAGUACAUACAAAUGUGUGAUAAAACCCCAAAAAAACGGAGUUUUAUCACAUUUUCCCUUUAGUAAAUCUCACCCAGAGUGUGAGGAGACUUACAAAACAUGCACUGUGUGGGGUCCUGAGGACCGCGUUUGAGAACCUGUGCUCUAAACAGUUUCAACCUUGAUAUAUGCUUGUCUAAGAAUAACACUUGCAUCAAAAGCUUUCAUUUCUUCUAUUUGUUACUCCGGAAUGAGUGAAUUAGAGCAAUUUCUUUUGAAGUUCUUGAACUGGCCAAGGGGAAUUUCAUCCAGUUCUUAUGGCGCUCACUCAUCCUAUUUAUAAUGUAGUCUGUAGGUUUUCUAUAGUUUGGGGUUUUGAUUACUAAUAUAAAUAUUCAGAUCUACAGAGACAGUUUCAUGUUGACUAAUAUUACAGGCCACCUUAACAUUGAAACUAUUGGAAUUUAAAGAAAAACAAAAAUCAUUAAGAUCAACUUUUUCCCCAUCCAUAGAAAAAAUCGGUCAUCUAUAUACCAAUAAAAAAACAUUCCAGGUUUGACACCUGUGAGUUAUCAGGACCAGAUGCUUUCAUUUUCCCAGUAUGUCAUGAAAAGCUUUGUGUAACUGGGGGCAAAGCUGGUGCCCAUUACUGUCCAAAAGUACAAAAAGUAGGUGCUGUCAAAGGACAAAUAAUUGUUACUUAAAAUUUAAGAGGAUUCCUUCUGAUAUGAGUUAAGUGCAGAUGACGUCAAGUAAAUGAGUGACCUCUUAUAUGCCUAUUAGGAUACAAUAAGCGUAUAUAGGCCCCCAUUUAUCAAUGAUCAUUUUCUCUUAUGUUAAUUAACGUUACCGUUCACUGCAUUUUUUCACUUGAAUUAAUGAAGCUGCCACCAGCAGGCAGUAAUGUGAAACACCUGGCAGUGCUGUUUGUGAAGUCCAAAUAGCGCUGUCAAGUUGUUUUUUCUUAAAACUGCGCAAAUGGGCAAUCUGUUGGCUUUCAGGCACAUGCACAGUAGGCAGAGCGGGUGCAGUGUGACUGUGGCUGAGGCAGCAGCAGCACUGCCGCUCCCUCCCCCAAGUACCUGGGCUCCUCCUGCCCCCAGCAUCAGUCUUCAGCCCCUUGUGUGUGUCAGAGAGAGAGAGAGUGCCCGUGUAUGUGUCAGUGUGUGUGUGUGUGUGUGUGUGCUAUGCGCCAUGUGCGUGGUGAGAGAGAGGGACUGAACUGGAGAGAGGCAGCAGAUGUCUCGGCUAGGUUCUCCUUCCUUCCAUUCCUCUCUGGAGCUCUCCCCGCUGUUUUAGUGACUGGCAGUGCUGGUGAGCGUUGUUUACAGACACCCACAAGCUAGAAGGCUACAAUAAGGACAACGAGCGGUAAGUGAGGAUUACUGCUCGUUGCUAAAUUCAGUCACCAUAUGCUUUCAUAUGAAGAGUGAGGAUAGCGCUGCCAUAAAACAGCACUAUCAAUCUAAAACACAGGUUCUCAAACUCGGUCCACAGGACCCCACACGGUCCAUGUUUUGCUGGUCACCUGUAGAUUUUUUAAAUGUGACAGUUGGUGAUACACAGUGCAGCUGCUGGGUGACAUGGAAAACGUGAACCGGGUGGGGUCCUGAGGACCGAGUUUGAGAACCACUGAUCUAUAAUAAAUAUAAAAAGCCCUUAAUGAUCAUUCUGAUUGAGUUUGACAUGGGGGCCAUAGUGUGCUUACACCAGCACUGACCAUAUAACAAUUAGAAGUCCAUUGUACUUGUGCCAGUGUCUCUAAGAUUUAAAGGGUUUUUUUUCUACAAAGGCUUUAAAUAAUAAUAUACCACAGCAGGGACAUUAGAUGUUUCACUAUUUGUUCCAGAAAUGAUUGGCCUUCCUCAGGAGCUAAGGUGGUCUUUAUAGACCAUUAUAUACAUGAUCAUAGUGGAAGGGUCUUUAACAUGAAUAAAAUUAGCCAUUAUUAGUUCCAUUUCUUUUCUCUAUUACCUUCGUUCAGUGGUUUGCAGGCUUUUUUGAGAUUGGCAUAGAGUGUGUACAAUAUACUGAAGGGCUCGAAACGCACUCUGUACCAGCCCAUUCCAAAGAGAAUCUUAGGUAAACGCAUGGAAUGGUGGGGUUCGGUUGCCUGGAAACCCUCCUCCUCUUGGCUAGUGGCUCAAAUUAUGACAACAAUAGCAAUGGCAUGUAAACUGCCACCACAUCAUGCAGUUUAUGGGACAGAGCAGAGCUGCUGCACAUUCCCAGUGCUAGUAACUUCUUCUACCAUGUUUGCUGUGUGUGUGGAUCUGAGUCCUUAAUUAGUCCAAUGGACCAGAGAGUAUCUACCAGGAAGAAAAGACAGGAGCCUUACCAUGUAGUGGGAGAAUGUGUGCUUAUAAUGUGCAGCACUGGUUACAUUAUGUUUGUGCAUUUAUUUAUUUAUUUAUUUAUUAUGGUAUGUUUAACCCUUUUCCUGACCACUUAUCUUUAUAUGAUUUAAAUAUGUUUGAUAUAGUCUAUACUAUAGACAAUCUAGAGUGUUAAAUAUUAAUACUGUAUUCUAUACCGUAUAUAAAAAGACCAUUGUUUGCAUUAAA